CCGGCGCACGGGUGCGUAACGCGUAUGCAAUCUACCUUGUACAGGGGGAUAGCCCAGAGAAAUUUGGAUUAAUACCCCAUGGUGUAUUAGAGUGGCAUCAUUUAAAUACUAAAGUUCCAACGGUACAAGAUGAGCAUGCGUCCCAUUAGUUAGUUGGUAAGGUAACGGCUUACCAAGACGAUGAUGGGUAGGGGUCCUGAGAGGGAGAUCCCCCACACUGGUACUGAGACACGGACCAGACUCCUACGGGAGGCAGCAGUGAGGAAUAUUGGUCAAUGGGCGAGAGCCUGAACCAGCCAUGCCGCGUGCAGGAAGACGGUCCUAUGGAUUGUAAACUGCUUUUAUACAGGAAGAAACACUCCCUCGUGAGGGAACUUGACGGUACUGUAGGAAUAAGGAUCGGCUAACUCCGUGCCAGCAGCCGCGGUAAUACGGAGGAUCCAAGCGUUAUCCGGAAUCAUUGGGUUUAAAGGGUCUGUAGGCGGUUUAAUAAGUCAGUGGUGAAAUCUGGUCGCUCAACGAUCAAACGGCCAUUGAUACUGUUAAACUUGAAUUAGUGUGAAGUAACUAGAAUAUGUAGUGUAGCGGUGAAAUGCUUAGAUAUUACAUGGAAUACCAAUUGCGAAGGCAGGUUACUAACACUAUAUUGACGCUGAUAGACGAAAGCGUGGGUAGCGAACAGGAUUAGAUACCCUGGUAGUCCACGCCGUAAACGAUGGAUACUAGCUGUUUGGAGCAAUCUGAGUGGCUAAGCGAAAGUGAUAAGUAUCCCACCUGGGGAGUACGCACGCAAGUGUGAAACU
rnacentral:rRNA from 1 species